UAAUAAUAAUACAUGAAACCCUUGUUGCUCAAAACUAGCUGUCAUUCCCUUCCCUCCUUGUCCUCCUCCUUUCUCUCUUUUCCUCUUGCGCCGCCAGUGAGCAGUUGUCCCGUCACUAGCAACCGGACAGCCUGCUGCACGGCCCCUACGGCAACCAGCAACCAGCAGCACCGGCUUCUUUUCCUUCCUCCACGAGCAGCAGUUGCUGCCUUCUCACCCUAUGACCGGCAGCAGCGGCUGUCCUUUUGGCCCCACCAUCACUGUGCUCCAUCUACACGACCACCACAACAACAACCACCAAUAGCCUUCACCUUUUUCUAGUCUUAUCUUUGAGGAUGAUAGUUUGACAUAACAAGUAUAGGUGCUUCUUUUGCAUUACAUUGGGGAAAGAAUGGAGUACGAUCAUAGCAAUUUCUAUAGAAGUAGCCUGAUGUUUUGUAGCUCUUAUGUUGCUUGUAAAGUUUUUGGGUUGUGCAAUUCUUUUGUAGGGAGCCACGAGACUCCUUGUAUGAUUAUAGUUCCGCAGCGUAGUUUUUGAAUGUAUGACCGUAAGAAUUUUUCUUUAAUCGUCGUCAAAACCUAUGCGUUGACACUGGAACCACGAUCCGUGUGAGAGUUAAUGGUUUGAGGAGAUGACGAUGAUUCAUUUCGUAGUGACAUAUUUUUGGAAAGGCAUUGAAGGCCUCAGAUUAAUUUAGUUUUGUUAUUUAUCUGCA